rnacentral:tRNA from 1 species
GGAGGGGUUCCCGAGUGGCCAAAGGGAACAGACUGUAAAUCUGUCGGCGAACGCCUUCGGAGGUUCAAAUCCUCCCCCCUCCA